UUAACGAGCCCCCCUAUAUAGUAAUAGCCCCAGAUCAGAAUUUUCAAGGGAGAAGCCUGGAAAAGUAUGAGAGAAUCAGAAAAUCUAUCAAAGUUUUUAUUGCUUUCUGAUAUUCUCAUAUUAGAAAGAUUAUGACAUGAGAUGAUUAAAGAUGCUUGGACUCACAACCCGGUAAAAUGUUAACUGUUAUGGCCUAAUUUGAAUUCACACAGAUUAGUCUAAUCCAUCUCGACAUGGACUAACUUGACUAGCUCAUAGCCUCGUAAUCCCAAACUGUACAGUUUUAAGAUUCUCCACGAAAUAAAAUAUUAACAUGUCCAAACAAAGAAAAUGUAGAAGUACUAGAAACAUGAGCAUGAUCAACUAAUAAUAGGAGACAAAUGACCUGCCAAAGUAAAAAAAUUCUAGCAAAGCAAAAUGAAUUGGCAAUCAACCGAUAAGUCAUUAACUUGAGCAAACGCUUAGUCUGAGUAGUUUGGUAACCUUAGAACCUUUAACGUUAUUUCUCUGAUAAUCUAGAAAAUACUAUUGCUUAGGUCUUUGGAGCACGGUUUUGAAAGAGAACCAAAUUUGGAAGAGUGAGCAUGUACUCCAAUAAACUUGAAUUUCUAUUACAGAGUGAGCCUCUACAAGAAACCUAUAUUUCUAGUCAAGGUACAUACAUUUUGAUUACAAUAACUAAGAGAAUGUUGCAUCCUAAAUAAAUUAUCGCUAGAAAUAAAAAAACCAUUUUCAGAAUAACAUCUAAAAGAUUCAUAAACACCCUACUGCAGCUAUGUCGUAUAAGUCCAUGACAAUAACAAAAUUAGUCAUAAUAAUAAAAUAAGAAAAUUCAGUUAACUCCAAGUUGGCCGCCAAAAUUCAUGUAGGGAGUCCUGCUAAAGUAGCCGAGAAUAGUUUCCACAAAACUUCCGUAGAACUUUCCAAUAUUUGUACACUAUAGUCACCUCAAAUUAAGCAAUCUAAAACCUCUUCAACCUCAAUCUUAACUCUCUCCUUCAGAACACUAUUUAUCACCAGCCCCCAUCCAUCAAAAACCCCUCUCCUCCCUUUCGACAAUCGACAAAAUACCUCAACUAUCACGUUCCACUCCCUAUCCCCACAAAACCCCUCGACAAACUUCCUCAUGCUCCCCUCCCCGGGCUCAUACCCAUUAAACACCGUCUCGCCAAAACUAACCUCGCUUGUUUAAAUUCCUUGGCAGCACACAACCCCUCACAAAUCAUUUUGUAACUCAGCACAUCAGGUCUACACUCUUAUCAGCAUUUCGUCAAACACUAUUGGCUUUCCUUUUCAGGUUCUCGUUUUAUUAAGGCUUGGUGCAGGGAUACUGGACAGCGAGAAGGUAUGUAUGAGCUUGGGUAGUCUAUAAAUUUCCAAAGAAAUUUAGCAUAAUAUCUUUUAGUUUUCUC